CUUANGUGGGGAAUAACGCAUCGAAAGUUGCGCUAAUACCGCAUAUUCUCUANGGAGGAAAGNGGGGGCUCGCAAGACCUCAUGCUUUUANAGCGGCCGAUAUCUGAUUAGCUAGUUGGUAGGGNAAAAGCCUACCAAGGCAUCNAUCANUAGCUGGUCUGAGAGGACGACCAGCCACACUGGAACUGAGACACGGUCCAGACUCCUACGGGAGGCAUGCAGUGGGGAAUUUUGGACAAUGGACGCAAGCCUGAUCCAGCAAUGCCGCGUGAGUGAAGAAGGCCUUCGGGUUGUAAAGCUCUUUUGUCAGGGAAGAAACGGUGAUCUCUAAUAUAGGUCACUAAUGACGGUACCUGAAGAAUAAGCACCGGCUGAACUACGUGCCAGCAGCCGCGGUAAUACGUAGGGUGCAAGCGUUAAUCGGAAUUACUGGGCGUAAAGCGUGCGCAGGCGGUUAUGUAAGUCAGAUGUGAAAUCCCCGGGCUCAACCUGGGAAUGGCAUUUGAGACUGCAUGGCUAGAGUGUGUCAGAGGGGGGUAGAAUUCCACGUGUAGCAGUGAAAUGCGUAGAGAUGUGGAGGAAUACCGAUGGCGAAGGCAGCCCCCUGGGAUAACACUGACGCUCAUGCACGAAAGCGUGGGGAGCAAACAGGAUUAGAUACCCUGGUAGUCCACGCCCUAAACGAUGUCUACUAGUUGUCGGGACUUAAUUGUCUUGGUAACGCAGCUAACGCGUGAAGUAGACCGCCUGGGGAGUACGGUCGCAAGAUUAAAACUCAAAGGAAUUGACGGGGACCCGCACAAGCGGUGGAUGAUGUGGAUUAAUUCGAUGCAACGCGAAAAACCUUACCUACCCUUGACAUGGNUGGAAUCUUUGAGAGAUCAGAGAGUGCUCNCAAGAGAACCAAUACACAGGUGCUGCAUGGCUGUCGUCAAGCUCGUGUCGUGAGAUGUUGGGUUAAGUCCCGCAACGAGCGCAACCCUUGUCAUUAAUUGCCAUCAUUUAGUUGGGCACUUUAAUGAGACUGCCGGUGACAAACCGGAGGAAGGUGGGGAUGACGUCAAGUCCUCAUGGCCCUUAUGGGUAGGGCUUCACACGUAA
rnacentral:rRNA from 1 species